AGAGCGAACGCUGGCGGCAGGCCUAAUACAUGCAAGUCGAGCGGCCACUUCGGUGGCAGCGGCGGACGGGUGAGUAACGCGUGGGAAUGUGCCCUUUGGUACGGAACAACUGAGGGAAACUUCAGCUAAUACCGUAUGUGCCCUUCGGGGGAAAGAUUUAUUGCCAUUGGAGCAGCCCGCGUUGGAUUAGCUAGUUGGUGGGGUAAAGGCCCACCAAGGCGACGAUCCAUAGCUGGUCUGAGAGGAUGAUCAGCCACACUGGGACUGAGACACGGCCCAGACUCCUACGGGAGGCAGCAGUAGGGAAUCUUGCGCAAUGGGCGAAAGCCUGACGCAGCCAUGCCGCGUGAAUGAUGAAGGUCUUAGGAUUAGUAAAAUUCUUUCACCGGGAAGAUAAGGACGGUACCCGGAGAAGAAGCCCCGGCUAACUCGUGCCAGCAGCCGC
rnacentral:rRNA from 1 species